rnacentral:lncRNA from 1 species
CCAGGGUGAAUAACUGCAUAAAGAGGAAGAUGGAAAGCUCUGUUUGGGUAAGAUAGAUAAGGGUCUUGUUUACCUGGCUUAGGUGUUUAGACUCUAUCAGCUAGGCAACUGGAAGUCAUUAGAGGUUUUCAAUCAGGAAGAUGACAUAACCAGAUCUGCAUUUUGGAAAGAUAACUGGCAUCAUCAAUGAGAUAAAUGGAUCUGUAACAAGAGAGAUGAGGCAAGGAGUCUACUCAGGAGAAAUCUGUGAUACACUGUGACAGAUGGUGAGAACCUGCAGUAAGGUGGAAGGAAGCAUUGAUGCUUCAGAGCAAUUUUCUCUGUGCUCUCUGGAAGGCCCGAACCCUAAAUCCAAGCCAAUGUAUUGAUUUCAAGGACCCACAAGGCGCUUUACAACUUUAUUUAGCACUUCAAGAAUAUACAUCUUUGCCGAGCACCUUUUUAGACAUUUCUUAACCAAACCUCUUAAGCUCCUUAGAAAUGAAAGGAUAAUACAUUUUCUUCAGUAUUAGAGAAAACAUUCAAAUAGAAAUUCUGUUACUAUGACCUAGGGCUUCUGCAUCAAUGUCUUGAGAGCAUCUACUGAUCUACUUCUCUAUUUGUCAUUAAUCUUGUACAUCUGAUGAUACAGCAAAAGCUACAGUGGUGUCUAAUUUCAAAUUGUAUCUCCCUUCCUUAUUAGUUUUGCUCUGUUCAAUUUCAUGAGCCAGCCAAAAUGAUGAAAAGACAUGGCAUUUGUUUGAAAUUAGAGGAAAAAAAAAGUAGGGUGGGUAGGAAUGCACUAACCAUGGAAUCAGAGAACAAGGCUUUAGAAUUGUUCUAGUCAAUAUUUUCAUUUUAGAGAUGAAGAAAUCUUGACCCAGUGAGAUAAGUGAUUUGCCCAACAUAAAAUUAACUGCUAACAAGCCCACAAGAAACCAUGUGAUUGUUAACCCAUUUUUUCUAAAGCUGUUUAUUUUAUAAAUUAUAACAAUGUUGUUAACAAAAUUUUGGGAAAGAAGUUAUUGUUCAAGGAUCCACAGAAAAGAUAAAUAUAUUUUUACCCUUCUUAAAUUAGGAAGAAGCUUGUUUUAUUUGUAUUUUUAUUAAAUGAGAGCGAUAGUCAUUUAAUAUUUAGCUACACAGUUGCAUUAAUAUCCUAAUCCUCUAAUGGCACUAAAACAUAUAUAAUGAAUUUGAAACCAUUGAUUAAAAUGAUUAUUUCUUCAGGUCCAAUAUAUGAAUUCUUAAAGAGAUCAGUCAAAGAUAUCCUUUGGGGUACCUUAAUGAUGAUUUAAAUCCUACAGCAUGAUUGAGUUGGUCAAUUUCUCUUUCUUGAGCUGAUUUUUAACCUUUUUUUUCUCCCUAGCUACAGCCUAUUGAUGGUUUGUAUUUUGAUAGCAAUUAACAACUGUAAAUGCAUUAGUAUUUAAGUCCACCUAUGAGUUUUAGAACAGUGUAAUUAUUCCAGGACAGCACUGAACGGGGCUGCUAGGUAGAAUUUGUGCAUUGCAUACAUUUCCAUUUCUUCAUUUAUUCAGAAUACAAGUAAUGUAAGGCUCACUGAGCAAACCUCACAACAAUGACACAUUGUUCAAAUUCAGGAAUAAGGGUGUUCUACUUUUACUUCCUAUUAUUCUAAAAAAAGUAGCAAAAUUUUGAUAAAGUUACUUGGGGACAAAGUCAUGUAUGUAAAAAUAAAAAUGCUCUUCUGAAAGAACAAAAUAUCUAAACAAAACUUGAAGAAGUAGAAAAAAUGCCUUUGCAUAUUUGUCAGAAGUAGUAUUAAUAACUGCAUGAUUCCAAAACACGUAGAUAUUUUGGAAAAAAUAUUCAGUAAAGAUUAACCAUCUCUAUGAUUCUAACACUAAGAAUAUAGAGGAGGCUCAAUAAAUUAAUGUUGAAUGUCUAAUCCAAAUUUGAUAUUAACUAAUAAGUACAGCCACAUAAUCUCUUACCACAUUUCUUAAAUUCUUCCUCAUUACUAGAAAGUAACAUCCCCUACUUUAAAAGAUCAAAAUAAAAGCUGGUUUAAUUGACUCUAGUUUUUGUAUGCAUUUGUGAAGGUGCAUAUCAUUUUCACAUAAAUUGGAAAGAAACUGUUAUUGCUAAUACUAGUCUCUAUUGUCUGUCUGCACACUUCACCUAGGACUAUGGAUUGUGUGUUGAAACUUCCAGUGUUUGAAGAUCUGCUUCUUUGCCCUUUGAACCGUAAGUCACUUUUGUCCCCAAAUAUUGUUUGCUGCAUUCUGAUUGAUCUGUGUGCUUUUGCAUCUUCCCCAGGAUUCCACAACUAUGCCACAUUGCUUAAACCGUGCAGAGUGAGCACAAAUAUUUGAUAAGCAAAGGUGAUUUUUCUAAGUCUUUGUACAGGAAGAAAUGGCAUUGUUGCUAGUGUAUGAUUUUCAUAUGUCUCAUUGUGAUGGUUAAAUUAAAACAAAACAAAACAAAANNNNNNNNNNNNNNNNNNNNNNNNNNNNAAAUUAAAGACAAUUCUCUGUACUGGUACAUAUAUAAAUUAGGAUUACCUUAGCUGGGUCUCUGUAAUCAUUAGCAGUAAUGUGCUUAUUAACUUGUUAGUUUAAUACAUAUGGCAUCAAAGUAAAACCUAAUGAUGGAAUCAAGCAAAAUCACAAAAUGAUCGUUUUCUCUCUUUACCCUAAGCUGAGCAAGGAACCUUUCCAAGCAGUGUGAACUCACUGGCUUCCCCAUAACGCUACAGAGCUCACACUGCCAUAUAACUGGGAAUCGGAGAGGUGAGGUCAUUUCAUCACUCCUUGGAAAAAAAUGCAAAACGUCUGCUAAAAUCUGACUUCAUUUGAUUUACUCUCCAAGACUGUUUUUUAUUAAAUAUGUUUGACUGCUAUCUCUAAUUAAAUGUAGAAUUAAUUUUGGCAAACUAACCACAGAUGCAGUUUAUGUUCAAUUUUAUCAGACAGAUUUAUUUAUAAGCUGUCAACUUCUUGAAAGACUUCAUUUUGGAGCAGUUUUAAAUUGCUAACAGUAGCUGUAAAUGGAGCUACUGUUCUCUGGAACACUAAAGGAAAAGUAUGCUAUAAAUGUCCAUUCCAUCUGUGAGGAAUCAUAAAACAAUCACAUUCCUUUAUUUUUUUUUCCUCCGUAGGACCUUUAUUAAAUUAGUUCAACUCAAUUAAAAAUAACUUCAAAAACAUUUCAGAGCCCUUUGUUUCAUGGAAUACUUGGAACUCUCUGCACGGAACGUCACCCUUUUAACUAAUCCCUUUUAGUAAAUGGAGGAGAAUAGUGGUAUUGUGACUUCAGACAGUGCUUUCAAGGGUCUCUACUGUACCGAAUUGAGGUCACUGCAAGACAAUGCUCAACACCCAAUAGCCAUUCAAACAUUCUUCACAACUCUAUCAAACGUGUCUUUCUUUCUCUCACCCGCUUUCUCUCAUGGCAAACUCAGAGGACAAUGGAAAAGCCUCUAGCACCAUUUAUGGUCACCAUAUUUGCACAUGACAAAGUCUAUUCUUCCUGGUUUGCCAACUCCCUGUAAAAAGAAUGAACCCUAGGAUAGAUUUUCCCACCAUUACUGUUAUUCAAACUUAUUUUGUAUUUAAUUAUUUUUGUUGUUGUUGUUAGAGGGCUGCUCCAUGGCAUUUGAGAAGCUGACUUGCUAUUUUCGUGCAUGUGUAACAAAGCAGAGACUAAAUGCAGAAUUAAAUAUGUCACAUUAUAGCCAGCAUAUGCAUGAUGGAGCGCACAAUUUAGUACAAAACGGAGACAAAUGAGGAAAUUGGAAUUAUUAUACCUUGUCUUCUUGUCUAACAUUAACAGUAUUAUAAAACUUACUGUUUACCCAUGAACCACCAUGCUUGUGCCCCACAAGCACUAUUUAGUUUUGCUUGGGAGUUUUUAUGGCUGCAGCCACAAACAAACAAAAUCAAUUGCUGUAAAUUUUUCUCACCAGGGCUGCUCCUUUUUGAACGAAGAAAAAAAGAAAAAAAAAGAUGUAUCCAGAGCAUCGUCCUCCAAACAAACAAGAGGAGCACAUAUUUGCAAGCUAUAUAGUAAAGUUGUUGCAAUGAAGAUUUUGAUUUUAAUUAAGAAUGGGAUUUGUAGGACAAUUAGUGAGAUGUAAUAUUCUUUGCAAGAAACAGUACCCUUAUUGGAAAUACCACCUAAAAUGGAGCGGGGGCAUUUGGAGCUGCACAGAGACUUAUAUCUAUGGGUUUCUACAGUUAAUGAGAAAGAAAAAUACAAGGAAAAUGUAGGUACCUCACCUGAAAUGCAGGAAUACAAAUACCGUUUGCCUGGUUUUUUUCCCCCUCCUUAAUUUUUCUUUUUAAUUUAAACCAUAGAAAUCUGUGCUGUUGAGAUUUCAACCAGGUAAUCAUCUUAUCAUUAAUACGUUUAUGUUAUUUCUUCACAUUGACUUUAAACCACUGAUCAUUAGGAGUAUACCUCAUCUUUUUUGAUGAUUUUACAAGGACAUAAUAAUAUACUUAAUAGUAAUAAAGGCAACGAACUCUCCAGUUAUUUUUGGUAUGCUCAGCUGUCCUGACAUUAAAA